UACGUAGGGUGCAAGCGUUGUCCGGAAUUAUUGGGCGUAAAGAGCUCGUAGGCGGUUUGUCGCGUCUGCUGUGAAAACGCGAGGCUCAACCUCGCGCCUGCAGUGGGUACGGGCAAACUAGAGUGGCGGUAGGGGAGAUUGGAAUUCCUGGUGUAGCGGUGGAAUGCGCAGAUAUCAGGAGGAACACCAAUGGCGAAGGCAGAUCUCUGGGCCGUAACUGACGCUGAGGAGCGAAAGCAUGGGGAGCGAACAGG
rnacentral:rRNA from 1 species